GAUGAACGCUGGCGGCGUGCCUAACACAUGCAAGUCGAGCGGACGGACGAGGCUUUUGCCUUGCUGAUGUUAGGGGCGGGAGGGUGAUUAACACGUGUAUACCCUACAUGUGAGAAUGACAUCCUUAGGGGAAACCGGAUCUAACAUCGGUUAAUAUUUUGAACCGCGUGGUUCAUAGGAGAAAUACGUCUCUGCUGUCACUAAUAGCUGGUUCCGAGCUGGAUUAGUUAGUUGGUAGGGUAACGGCCUACCAAGGCGACGAUGCGUAGCCGACCUGAGAGGAUGAUCGGCCACACUGGAACUGAGACACGGUCCAGACUCCUACGGGAGGCAGCAGUGGGGAAUCUUGGGCAAUGGGCGAAAGCCUGACACAGCAAGGCCGCGUGUGUGAAGAAGGUCUUCGGAUCGUAAAGCACUGUUAGUAGGGAUGAACAGCUGUAAGCUAAAACGUGGCUAUAUUGACGGUACCUACUGAAAAAGCACCGGCUAACUACGUG
rnacentral:rRNA from 1 species